UGCAGUCCAGUGAGGCCAAGUGCUUG
rnacentral:piRNA from 1 species